CUUGUCUCCUUUACAAAGCGAAAGGGAAGAGACACUUCGGUAUUAGGCGUGUGUUGUUUUGGCUUUGGGGCAACUCUGAACAGGCGCAGGAACCCGGCGAGGAAUUCUGAAUAUGCUCAGAGAACCGUCGGCCGCUCAAACUCGCCACAUUUCCCUACCCGACAGCCGCCAAGCCCCGGGGCCUCAAAAAUAAGCAGCCGUCUCUUUCCCCCCGCUGCCCAAAGGCCUCGAGGGCUUCCCGAGAGAGACCUUUGAGACAUCUUGGGCUUCCCCUCAGGCGGGCCGCCUCUCGCCGCGGCGAAAUCCCGCCCAGAAAAAGGCGACCCGUUUGGGACUCGCCGCUUCAAGACGGCCGGGCGAAACGAAAGGAGAAGCGGAGGAGGGCGGCCGGCCUCGCGGAUACGACGAGAGAAACCGGGGCGUGAUUUCGUGUGGGUCUGUUUGUGAGUUAAGAGUGAGAGAGGCGCGGAGGAGAAGGGCCGCAAGGUGCUGCGAGGGAAGAAGACCCGUUUCCAGACCCGGCGGCGGCGGCGGCGAGGAGUCGAGGAAGGAGGAUGGGGGCCGCCCGGCUGCUCCGGGCCGCCCUUUGGGGCCUGCUCCUCCCGCUGGUCAGCGCCGGUCAAGGAAUCUUGCAUGCAAUUCAGAUUGAUAAUCCUCUGUUAACAAAGGACUACUGCAUAUAUUAUAACUCUGAGUGGACCUCCCUGCCUAGUGCCUUAAAUAACGUUACAUAUACAAGACUGGAGAUCUUGACCCCCAAAUUGCUUUGCAGUCCCUCGGAUGCCACUCAUGAAACUGUCAAGGACAAAGCAAUCGUUGUGUCGAGAGGAAACUGCACUUUUGUAGAAAAGGCAGAGAUUGCUCAGAAACUUGGUGCUAAAAUGCUGCUCAUCGCCAGUGACACUGGCAUAGAUACUCCUUAUGGUAACAAGACUGCAAACAUCACCAUCCCAAUUACACUUGUAAGCAAUGAAGAUAUAAUCAAUUUGAAAGAGGAUCUUGGAAAGAACGUGAACGUGACAUUAUAUUCACCACCUCCCCCAAAAUUUGACUUCAGCAUGGUGGCUAUCUUUCUAAUUGCUGUGGUCUCUGUAGCAUUGGGAGGCUACUGGAGUGGAAUGGCAGAACUUGAGAGUCUGAAGCGGUCUUCAAAUGAUGGAAACAGCGACUCGUCAGAAAGUGAAGAAAACGUGGUUUUAACUCCCAUGACUGCUGUUUUCUUUGUUGCCAUCUGUUGUAUUAUGCUAGUCUUGAUGUACUACUUCUACAAAUAUCUAGUGUAUGCCGUCAUCACAGUUUUCUGCCUCGCAUCUGCAUCAAGCCUGUUCAACUGUCUUCAUGCCAUAGUUAGAAAAAUACCUUAUGGGCAAUGCAGGUUUCCAUGCUGGGACAGAUGCCUUGAAGUGAGACUCUUUUUUCUCGCUCUAAUAUGCAUAACGACAUCUGUUGUUUGGGCAGUGUUUCGGAAUGAAAAUAGCUGGGUAUGGAUUUUGCAAGAUAUCCUGGGAAUUGCUUUCUGCGUGAACUUUAUUAAAACACUCAAAUUGCCCAACUUUAAGUCAUGUGUUAUUCUCCUUGGUCUCCUUCUUGUAUAUGAUGUAUUUUUUGUCUUCAUCACACCAUACCUUACAAAAAGUGGAGAAAGUAUCAUGGUUGAAGUGGCAGCAGGUCCUACGGAUAGUGGUGAAAAGAAUGAUGGAAGCUUGGUGGAAGCCUCUACUGGGCGGUCAGCUCCUCCUGAGAAAUUGCCAGUGGUAAUCAGGGUGCCAAGGUUGGCAUUCUCUGCAAUGACGUUAUGUUCAAGACCAUUUUCAUUACUUGGGUACGGUGACAUUGCUUUACCAGGUCUCCUGGUGGCCUAUUGUCACAGGUUUGAUGUUCAGACAAGCUCUUCCUCUGUGUAUUUCAUUUCUUCCACGAUAGCUUAUGCUAUUGGCAUGUUGGUCACAUUUGCGGGCCUGGCGCUAAUGCAGAUGGCACAACCAGCCCUUCUCUAUUUAGUGCCGUGCACACUAAUUAUGGCCACGUUAGUUGCUUUGUAUCGCAAAGAGAUGAAAAAGUUCUGGAAUGGCAACAGCUACCAGAUUGAGCCGGCAUUAAUAACAACACCUCCAGGCGAGAGGGCAGCCUGAUAAGUCAGCCUAAGUGCCAGUGAAGGGACUAGUUGAGGACCGCAUUUUGAGGUGAUGGAUCCCAUGGAUUUCGCUACAAAUGAAGAAAACUCGACGAGAGCCAAUGAACAACGUGAAAGACAGUAACAGGGCACCUAAAAUAAUGUAUUAAGAUUUUCUAGUCAAAUAUAAUAAGAGACUGGUCUAAUUUUUAAAUUGGAAUAUUUCUUACAAUUUAUUAUGAAAAGAAUUGCCUUUUUUUACACUUGCACAUAUAUUUUUGUGAAACGUUUACUGUUGAUGAUGCUAUCACAUAAAGCUCUUAUUUUUUCAAGUGCCAAACUAGAUUCAAUAAACCCUGUGCCUUGUUUACUUCAAAAGGUAAUUGCCUAUGAAACAGAUAGUAUUUUUUACAUAUUGUCCAACUUGCUGCUGUGUGUAAGACUCUCUGACUUAAUACUUCUUUAAAGGUGUCUAGCUGCGGAGUGGCAGAAUCUAGAAGCAUCUUGCACAGAUUCUUUCGGUAGCAGUGAAUAAAGAAUUAUAAUUUGGUUGGACCAUAGGUAACAGUGCAAUUGUAAUAAGGCAUGGAUUGCCACAAACACAGUGUGAAAUAUGAAUGGUUGAGGGUUAAAAUGAGAUGGUCUCAUCAUAGCCUUUUAACUUAGUUAUUGUUGAAGAUGGGCAGUUCUUCCACUUCUAUCACAACUGAGUUUUGACUCGGUUUAUAUUCUAUCUUUUCAAGCGGGUUUAUUUUCUCUGCAUAGUUGUGUGAACAGCAAAACAGUUUAAAACAAUAAACAUAGAACCAAGAAAACAGAAAUGUUCUCCUUUUAUUUUAGAACCUAAAUUAAUGUUUAAAAAGCUUACUUCCCAUGCCAGGGAUUCAGGAUUCUUUUUGAAAAUGCCAUUAACCCCUUGUUUCAGUAAGGAAGUAGGUCACCAAUAAUGAUUGUUCAUCGGCUAUUAUUCAUAAAUGGCUAUCCUGCUUUAGAGGAAGAAAAUGUAUGAAAAGCAAAUGUAGUGUUCAUCCUUAUUGUCCCUUUGGAUUUGGAAAAUAUUUCACAACUAUGACAGCAUCUUCAAAAUCUUUCUUUUUGGAAGCUGUAGUGAAGAAAAAGCUCCAAGUUUGAACAGGCACACAUUUUGAAACCAAAGAUACUUGGAGGAUUCUGCAGCAGACUGUUGGCAAUGCCUUAGCCGCAGUUCAGAAGUAGCCAGAAAUCAUGAACCUAAUGAGGAACCUAACCUCUUUUAUAAACCAGAAAAGGAGAUGGGGAUACUGUGAUUUUAAACUAAUUGCGGUUUCCUUUGAUAUUUGAACUUGAGGAACCGUGGUUUGUUUAAACUGUGGUGAGAACAAGCCAGGAUCUGAAAGCAGGGUUUGAUUCUGGCUUCUUUUCACUAAUCAUAGUUUAAAGAAGGCGCAGUUCCUCUAGUUCCGAUGUCUAAGGAAAUAGAUUUGGCUAAAAUCGGAAGCAGGAGCAUUCAAGAGGAGGAGAAGGGGAGGAAUUGUCUUCAGGACCAAGACUCGCUAUGGCUUGUUAAUGCAGCAGAAUUCCAUGGCUUCGUCUUACAUUUGAAGGCCUUAUUCUGCAAAGCAGUUUAAAUGUCCCGUCUACCCCUUUUCAAAAUGAUUCAGUACUUAGAAGGCCUCCCUCUCAGGUGUUUUCCUCCAUGUCGUAGUAAUCAAAUGGAGGAAGAAAAUGGGGCCUUACCAGCUAGCCUCACUUUUGUAGCCUUGGCCUGCUAUGUGUGGCCAGUGGAGCUGCAGGAUAAGGGCCAUGGCCCUGCGUUCCUCUUCUACAGAAGAAUCUAAUUUUCUUAACUGCGGGCACAAUCUACCAAUACCUUUCUCCUACAUAAGCUCCACAGCAAUGAACGGAAGCUUGACAGAACUACCUUUGUAAUAUUCCUCCUUUACCUCCGGGGCAUUCCCAGCAGAGAGAGAUCUUUAAUGAUGGACAUUUUUCAUUAUCCGAAGCUCGCCCACAAAAGACUAAUUGAUACAGUAGAUGCAUUUGAAGUAACCAUGGCCACAAAGUGGCUUUCGGAUUGGUGAUUUACCAAUCAGGUUUACAAGCCUGGGAAACUUGAAGCGAUAGCCGCUGAGCUGUCUCAUCCCAUCCCAAAAUAUGAGCCGUCAGUUUUAAGUUAUUGUUUAGUCAACUAAUUCGAACACCGGCAGAUUUAAGAUCUUAGGCUGAUUGUAGUGAACAACAGAAUUAGCCUGAAACAUCCAGCUACAUUGUGGCCACAGAAGGCUUUUGUCCCUUAAAAUGGUCUCUGACUUGGAGGGGCCGAGCCCAAAUCGUAGUUAAAACUAACUAGUUUUAUUUCGAGUCAUGAAUGCAUGCAGUGAAUGUGAGAAUUUUCUUAACCUGCCUUAAAAAAUUGGGGAUAUAAGAAUCUGUCUUUUUACAUUACUUUGAUGCUGUGUAGAUGUAAAAUUAAGAUUGAGAAUCUUACCUGUAGAGGAAUAUCUCAUUUAAUCAUUUCUAAACAUUGCUUGGAUUAUAUUCUGCAAGACAUACAGUAAAUGAAUUUUUGGGCAGGAUGCUUAUCAUCAACAUAUACUUUUGCUUUUUUUAAGGGGUCUGUUUGCUCAAGUCACGAUUAAUAUUCAAGGGGUUCUCAUGUGCUGGAAUUGAUUUCAGGGUGUUAACAAUAUUUGCUUGGAUUAUUUUUUAAAAAGGAUAGUUUAGCUAUCAUCUACUGAAUAGGAUGCUAUUAAUCUAGUUAAACAGGACUGGUGUUGGAAGCUUUGACUAGAAACAUUAAAUGUUUAAAAAAUUGGUUGAUUUUCUACACUUUAUGAGCCUUAAUAACAAUAACAUAUUGCUUAAAUCAUAAUGCCAUUUACGAUAACGAUCAUUUCUGAUAACAACCUUCUUUCUUGCUUUACCUCUGAAACAUUGUACAUUAAUGUUUUUAAGAAUGUUAUAAUUUAGAAUAUUUGGUAUUUAAUAAACUUUUCAAAACAG